rnacentral:misc_RNA from 1 species
GUUACGAGCGUCGCCCGGUAUACUCCGCGACUGCGACUCAGCUGUUCCGAAGCCGAUCGAUAUAUUGAUUUUUCCAAGAGCGUUGUCAAUUGUCAUGCUCUUGGUAACGUUUGUCAACAACGAGUCUUAUCUCGGUCUCGAGCCUUGUCGGACGCACUAAUAAAAGCUGCUUGGUUUUUUUGAGUUUAAAAGUGUCUUUCAUUUCCGCGGCGCGCUCGUUACAUUUUUGGGGGCUCGUCCGGGAUCCGUUUGUCGGAUCCUGUGAAGCGCGCGCGAGUUUAAGAGACAGAAAGUGCGCGGAGUGAAAGAACGAGAGAACAAGAAAUUCGAAGAUGUCCAUCCAACGUUCCCCUGUGGUGACCCGAUCCCACGCUUCUGCCGCUGCGGAGGGAGACAGAGCGGACGCACGAGAUUUGGAGCGAGAGACGGGAAAGAGGCGCGUCGUGACUCCCAGGCCUCCUUCAGGAGCAGCGGCGCCGGAAUUCCUGCUUCUUUUAGAGGAACUCCGGGGGAUGCGAGAGGAGCAGGCGCAGCAGCAGCGGGAGUUUGUGGAGGCACUUCGACGGCUGCAAUUUUCCCGAGCGACGGAGAACCAGCUAAGUCUCUCUGAUAAUAUUCGUUCGGCCGGGAACGUGGGGGACGCGUUACGUGAGAGCGGUGCGAGCAUGGAGGCGUGGGGGGACAUGCGGGCGCCUGUCGGCAUAAAAUUAAAACCGGACACUUUCGAUGGAACGUCCCCAUUACGCGAAUUUUUGACACAAUUUUCGCUCAUCGCGAACGCGAAUCGUUGGAGUGAGUCGGAGAAGGCGGUGGUUUUAGCUUCCUGCUUACGGGGGAAAGCGCGUUCGUUGCUGGAUUCCUGUUCCGCGAGUGAGGGCUCUCUUUCUUUCAUUAAGCUUAAAUCGCAAUUGGUGUAAAUAAUAUGAAUUUUUUUUUAAUUUUUCAGUAUGUGUACAUUGGUGACGUCCCACAUGGACCGACCACGGCCGUUCACGGCCGAACAUUUGUAAGAGUGCCGCAGAGCCACACAUCGAUUAUUUGGCUAAAUAAUGUAGUGUCCAUACGUGGGCCCGUUGGUGAGCAGCCAUAUUUUGGAUUUGAUGAAAUCCGUAUAUCGGGGUUCAUCAAUAUCGCCGCAGCUCGGUGGAGGCGGUAUUUCCGCCAAGGGGACCAGUGGAGAAACAACCAAAAUAGGGAACACGCAUACGGACAUUAUAAUUUUGACGCUGACGUGUGGGACCUCAGGAGGUUGUUUAACAUGGAACCACCGUCCGAAGAUGGAGAAAUCUGAGUGACCUGCUAUUUUAAUUACUGUUUUAUUAUAUGUUCCUCUUAUAUGAUUUUUUUUAUAUGUUCCUCUACUUUUAUACUU